rnacentral:rRNA from 1 species
UCAAGAAACUAAGGGCGCAAGGCGGAUGCCUUGGCACCAGGAGGCGAAGAAGGACGUGACAAGCAACGAAAACCUCGAAUAGGAGCAAAUAUCCAGUAACUCGGGGGAAUCCGAAUGGGGAAACCUACUAGAUACACUCUAGUAUCCAUACGUAAAUACAUAGCGUAUGGAGGCGAAUGUUCUGAACUGAAACAUCUAAGUAGGAACAAGAAAAGAAAGAAAACUCGAUUCUCCAAGUAGCGGCGAGCGAACAGAGACAAGCCCAUUAAAGUAAGACUAAACUGAUAGACAAAUCUUAUGGAAAGAAGAACCAAAGAAAGUAACAGUCUUGUAGUCGAAAUCAGAAUAGAGACACUUUAAGAAGAGUACCACGGAGCACGUGAAAUUCUGUGGGAAGAUAGGGGGACCACCCCCUAAGGCUAAAUACUACCUGGUGACCGAUAGCGAAUAGUACCGUGAGGGAAAGGUGAAAAGAACCCCGGGAGGGGAGUGAAACAGAACCUGAAACCUUGCGCCUACAAGCAGACAGAGGAAGAAGACUUCUAAUGUCGUACUUUUUGUAGAACGGGCCAGCGAGUUACGAUACGUAGCAAGAUUAAACAUUUAAGAUGUGAAGUCGCAGGGAAACCGAGUCUUAAUAGGGCGAAAGUUAUGUGUUGUAGACCCGAAACCGGGUGAUCUAUCCAUGGGCAGAGUGAAGGUAAAGUAAAAUUUACUGGAGGCUCGAACCGGGUAGCGUUUAAAAGCUAUCGGAUGACCUGUGGAUAGGGGUGAAAAGCCAAUCGAACUCGGAUAUAGCUGGUUCUCCUCGAAAUAGCUUUAGGGCUAGCCUUGUUUUAGAUUACAGGAGGUAGAGCACUGAAUAGUCUAGGGGAAGUAAUUCUACCGAAACUUAUCAAACUCCGAAUGCCUGAAAAUCGAUGAACAGGAGUCAGACCAUGAGGGAUAAGCUUCAUAGUCAAAAGGGAAACAGCCCAGACCACCAGUUAAGGUCCCAAAAUACAGAUUAAGUGGGAAAGGAUGUAAUACUACUCAGACAACCAGGAUGUUGGCUCAGAAGCAGCCAUACAUUUAAAGAGUGCGUAAUAGCUCACUGGUCAAGUGGUAAUGCGCCGAAGAUGAACGGGGCUAAAUCUGAUACCGAAACUGUGGGAUAGAAAAGCAAUUAUGCGAGAAGUAUGAAGUAAAAGUGAUUAGGAAAUAUAUCAACUAGUAAAGUAAGAGAGAAAGACAAAAAUUAAAACUAUUAAACGAUACAAUUUCUAAAACACUUAACAACAUACAACUGGCAUAAUAGCUUUUCUAUCGGUAGAGGAGCGUUGUAUAUGAAUUGAAGCAAAAAGCGUAAGCAAUUGUGGAUUAUAUACAAGUGAGAAUGCUGGCAUGAGUAGCGAAAAGGGAUGUGAGAAUCAUCCCCGUCGAAAGCCCAAGGAUUCCUGAGCAAGGCUCGUCCUCUCAGGGUAAGUCGGGACCUAAGGCGAGGCCGAAAGGCGUAGUCGAUGGACAACAGGUAGAAAUUCCUGUACUACAAGAUUGUGAUUGAGAGAAGUACUGACGCAGAAGGAAAAGUCGAGCGUGUGAAUGGUAGAACACGUCCAAGUAACAAGCCAGAAUAUACAGGCAAAUCCGUAUAUUCGCUAACGUAAGUUAUCAUGGGGAGCAGAAAGAUGCGAAGCGACAGAUUCAAACUGCCAAGAAAAGGUGCUAUCGAAUAAUCUUGUACCCGUACCGCAAACCGACACAGGUAGGCAAGAAGAGAAUUCUAAGACGCGCGGAAGAACCUUUGUUAAGGAACUCGGCAAAAUAAUCCCGUAAGUUAGCGAGAAGGGAUGCCUAAGAAAUUAGGUCGCAGAGAAUAGGCCCAAGCGACUGUUUACCAAAAACACAAGUAUCUGCUAAAUCGAAAGAUGAAGUAUAGGUGCUGACACCUGCCCGGUGCUGGAAGGUCAAGGGGACUUGUUAGAGCAAUCGAAGCAACGAACUUAAGCCCCAGUAAACGGCGGCCGUAACUAUAACGGUCCUAAGGUAGCGAAAUUCCUUGUCGGGUAAGUUCCGACCCGCACGAAAGGUGUAAC